UGGGCAACCUGCCCCUAGCACUGGGAUAACCCCGGGAAACCGGAGCUAAUACCGGAUACGACCACAGUUGGCAUCAACCUGUGGUGGAAAGAUUCAUCGGCUAGGGAUGGACCCGCGGCCUAUCAGCUUGUUGGUGGGGUAGUGGCCCACCAAGGCGACGACGGGUAGCCGGCCUGAGAGGGCGACCGGCCACACUGGGACUGAGACACGGCCCAGACUCCUACGGGAGGCA
rnacentral:rRNA from 1 species